rnacentral:rRNA from 1 species
UAACUUGAGAGUUUGAUCCUGGCUCAGAACGAACGCUGGCGGCAGGCCUCAUACAUGCAAGUCGAGCGGUCCUUCGGGACAGCGGCGAACGGGUUAGUAACGCGUGGGAACGUGCCCUUUAGUACGGAAUAGCCAUUGGAAACGAUGAUUAAUACCGUAUACGCCCCAAGGGGGAAAGAUUUAUCGCUAAAGGAUCGGCCCGCGUUAGAUUAGGUAGUUGGUAGGGUAAUGGCCUACCAAGCCGACGAUCUAUAGCUGGUUUGAGAGGAUGAUCAGCAACACUGGGACUGAGACACGGCCCAGACUUCUACGGAAGGCAGCAGUAGGGAAUCUUGGACAAUGGGCGAAAGCCUGAUCCAGCCAUGCCGCGUGAGUGAUGAAGGCCCUAGGGUUGUAAAGCUCUUUCGCCAGGGAAGAUAAUGACGGUACCUGGUAAAGAAACCCCGGCUAACUCCGUGCCAGCAGCCGCGGUAAUACGGAGGGGGUUAGCGUUGUUCGGAAUUACUGGGCGUAA